rnacentral:misc_RNA from 1 species
AGAUUGCGGAGGUGUUGGAGUCCUUGAUGGUGUAGAGCGCCAGCGGCAUCCAGGCGAGCGGAGAGAUCGGUUUCAGAACCUGGAUGAAGGGAUCAAGCGCCUUGCUGAUCAGCGGCGACAUGCCGAUGAGGAAUCCGAGCGGGAUCGCGAUAAUCACGGCAAGGAAGUAACCGAGCAGCACGCGUGCGAUCGAAUAGCUAAGC